CAAGAGUUAGUCAAUGCGAUUACUCCUAGAUUGGAAUAUUGGAAUACUAAUGAUGA
ncrna:Lactobacillus crispatus MV-1A-TS Transposase-1 RNA